rnacentral:rRNA from 1 species
GUCCUAGCUGUAAACGAUGGACACUAGGUGUUGGUGGUAUCAACCCCGCCAGUGCCGUAGCUAACGCAUUAAGUGUCCCGCCUGGGGAGUACGGCCGCAAGGCUAAAACUCAAAGGAAUUGACGGGGCCCCCGCACAAGCAGCGGAGCGUGGGGUUUAAUUCGAUGCAACGCGAAGAACCUUACCAAGGCUUGACAUGACCAGGACAACGGCGGAAACGUCGUCUUCCCGCGAGGGACCUGGCCACAGGUAUUGCAUGGCUGUCGU